AGUGAACGCUGGCGGUAGGCCUAACACAUGCAAGUCGAACGGCAGCACAGUAAGAGCUUGCUCUUCGGGUGGCGAGUGGCGGACGGGUGAGGAAUACAUCGGAAUCUACUUUUUCGUGGGGGAUAACGUAGGGAAACUUACGCUAAUACCGCAUACGACCUACGGGUGAAAGCAGGGGAUCUUCGGACCUUGCGCGAUUGAAUGAGCCGAUUUCGGAUUAGCUAGUUGGCGGGGUAAGGGCCCACCAAGGCGACGAUCCGUAGCUGGUCUGAGAGGAUGAUAAGCGACACUGGAACUGAGACACGGGCCAGACUCCUACGGGAGGCAGCAGUGGGGAAUAUUGGACAAUGGGCGCAAGCCUGAUCCAGCCAUACCGCGUGGGUGAAGAAGGCCUUCGGGUUGUAAAGCCCUUUUGUUGGGAAAGAAAAGCAGCAGGUUAAUACCCCGCUGUUCUGACGGUACCCAAAGAAUAAGCACCGGCUAACUUCGUG
rnacentral:rRNA from 1 species